rnacentral:rRNA from 1 species
CGGGGUGCAGCACCAGUGGGGAAUAUUGCACAAUGGGGGAAACCCUGAUGCAGCAACGCCGCGUGGAGGAUGACGCAUUUCGGUGUGUAAACUCCUUUUAUAUAGGAAGAUAAUGACGGUACUAUAUGAAUAAGCACCGGCUAACUCCGUGCCAGCAGCCGCGGUAAUACGGAGGGUGCAAGCGUUACUCGGAAUCACUGGGCGUAAAGCGCGCGCAGGCGGCCCCUUAAGUUGGAUGUGAAAGCCUACGGCUUAACCGUAGAACUGCAUCCAAAACUGAGGGGCUAGAGUCUGGGAGGGGAAGAUGGAAUUAGUUGUGUAGGGGUAAAAUCCGUAGAGAUAACUAGGAAUACCAAAAGCGAAGGCGAUCUUCUGGAACAGUACUGACGCUGAGGCGCGAAAGCGUGGGGAGCAAACAGGAUUAGAUACCCCGGUAGUC